CCCUUAGAUGUCCUGGGCCGCACGCGUGCUACACUGACACUUGCAACGAGUACUUUGCUUUACCGAAAGGUAAUGCUAAUCAUCAAUAAGUGUCGUGAUGGGGAUAGAUCUUUGGAAUUAUGGAUCUUGAACGAGGAAUGCCUAGUAAGCGUAGGUCAUUAGCCUACGCUGAUUAAGUCCCUGCCCUUUGUACACACCGCCCGUCGCUCCUACCGAUUUCGAGUGGUCCGGUGAAACUUUUGGACCGUGCGACUUUAUUGUUGUCACGGAAAGUCAGUUAAACCAUACUACUUAGAGGAAGGAGANGUCGUNACA
rnacentral:rRNA from 1 species